rnacentral:lncRNA from 1 species
UCAGAUAUAUAACUAGACUCAAAUAGUUUUUCACUAGACUCGACUCGGCCAAGUUCGAUCAAUCAAGGGGGCUCCUAGGUCGGUCCUUGCUCUGAUACCAACUUGUCACGCCCAAAAUGCGACCCUAUCCUCAAUUUGGCACGAGGGCCUCGUCAGGGAUAGAAGCGCAUCUCGUCGUGUCGCAAGAAUGGAUAUCGUUACAAGUACAUGUACUGAAAAGAUGAGAUAUAUAAAGGGUUGGCUUACACUCGCCACAAGCUACAUCAGAGUCACAUCAGUACAUUACGUAAUCAUCAAGAGUAAGAGCAGGGUCCGACUACGGACGAAAACAAACGACAAAAGAAGAACGACGUCCAUCCUUGCUAUCCCAGGCUGCCGGCCUGGAACCCGUCCUAGAUCGAAGAAGAAGAAGAAGAUGAAGAAGCAACUCCAAAUGAACAAUCAACGCGCUCGCGUCAUGUAACCUUUACCUGUACCUGCAACUGGUGUUGUAGUAAUCUGUGAGCCACAGGGGACUCAGCAAUCUCAUUUCCAAAGGUAUCAAGACUAGCAAAUCUUAAUGGGUGAGGCAUAGUUAAAUGGUGAGGUUGCAGCAGCGACUAAGCAUAUAUUUGGUGUCUAACUUACGAGUACAAGAAAUAAGAGGGGGGAUCUACGCAUAACGGACGUUACUACAGAUGAUCAAAAGAAUGAUCCUGAACACCUACCUACGUCAGACAUAACCCCACCGUGUCCUCGAUCGGAGAAGGAACUCACGAAAGAGACAGUCACGGUUACGCACACAGUUGGCAUGUUUUAAUUAAGUUAACUUCAAGUUAUCUAGAACCAGUGUUAAACAAAGCUUCCACGUUGCCACAUAACCGCGGGCACGGCUUUCCGAAAGAUUUAACCCUGCAGGGGUGCUCCAACUAGUCCAUCACAAAUUACCACAAGCCGCAUAGAAGUCCUCAAUCACGAAGCUCGCGAUCUCGUCGGACUCCCUAGUGGAAAACCUCAACUCUGAGAUUACCCAAAGAAUCACCGGAAUCCCGAUGCACAAGAUAUCUCGUCAAAGGUAAAACUAAUCCAGCAAGGCCGCCCGACGUGUCGACGAUCCUGAUACGAGUCGCGUACCUCGUUCUCAGGACACGGCGGAUGAGCUAGACGUCGGGAUCGCUAAACCUCCGGGUGACCAGAGGGGCGCCGGACAUCGCUCAGGUGGGACCAACACUCAUGAGGAGCACUGGCCCGGGGGUUGAUUAAAUUAUCCUCGGGGUCCGGAAAGUCCCUAUGCAAUUUUAUUAGGUGUUUAGGCAAAUGUAGUACCAAAGUUGGGCCCUGCCAGACCAGCUUUAAUCUAAAACGAAUUAUCAAGGGGGUCCCCAUAACAACCCCGAUCGUGUUAGGAGCGCUCAUUUAUGGAACAUAACACCGGUAGCCAAAACUAAGGGGGCAAAGGUGGAACAAAACACCAGGCUAGAAAGGCCGAGCCUUCCACCUUUUACCAGGUAUAUAGGUGCAUUCAAAUAGAAAGCAUAAAAUAUGGUGAUAUAACAAGGAACCCAUGCUUUGCAUGGAAGCAAUGCACCUGCAACUAGCAACGCUAUCAACAGGGUUAAGCAAGCAGUAACAUAGCCAAUCAGUGGUUUGCUAGGGUGAACAGGUUGAUGGUUUCAUGGCAUUGUAGAGAGGCUGAUAUUUAACAGGUGGUAGGCAACGAGACGUAAACGAUAGCAACGGUAAAACUAGCAUGGCAAUGAUAGUAAUGGUAUCUGGGGAAAUGAUCAUCUUGCCUGAGAUCCCGCUUGGAAGAAGAAUGACUCCGCGAAGCAGACGAACCGACGUAGUCGAACGGCCCUCACAUCCGACACGCUUGCGGAACUCUAUCGAGACGGAGGAAACCGGAAACAAGCAUCAACACACGAUAUACACCACACGAUGCAAGACACACAUGAUGCAUGAACGGUCUAAUGCAAAGCGUGACAAUCACAACAAUCAAACACUACACAUUAAGUGAAGCUCGAUAUGCAACGAGUUGCAUAUCGACGAAACUCCACGUUGAAUUAUUUAGUUCACUCCCGUUCAGGUACACGAAUAUAUUAAAUGUUGUUAAACCUGGCACGAGGGUGAAGCACAAAUUAAUCUACCUAGCUAGUCAUUUUAAAUGAGACCGGAAACGACAUAUAGCAUCUCCGAAAUGACCCCACGUGUUAAAUCUUAACUCUGCCCAGAUUUGUCCUAAACACAUUUUAUAUUUGUUAAACGGAGAAACAAAGUGGAACACGUGAUUCUACUCGUCGUUCUGGUCCAUUUACAUAUAUGGCACAUCUCCAACGGAGCUACGGACAAAUAGUUACGACCUAAAUCGUUUUCAACACGUCGAGACGCAAACCGAUGCAAACAACACACUAAACAGAUCUAAUUAUGCAUGAGAGUUGGUUUUUGUGAAACUACAGAAAAAUCUAAGCAACUUACAUGUGGAAAACAUUUUAAUCCGGUCCACGGUUAAAUUUAUAUGAAUUUUACAAACGGGCAUUUGAGUCUGUCCAAAAUAUAAAAAAAUGGAAUUGCUAGGAUUUGAACCCCAGAUCCCUUGCAUGAACAUUAGUAGCCCUACCACCAGACUAAAUAAGUGGUUGUGUCAAAAUUGACAAAACAGCAUAAAAAUAAAUAAGGCAGAAGCUGAGCGCAUGGAGAGGCACAAAUCCUAAAAAUAUAACAUGCAUGGAUGGGGAUUUGAUCCCUGGUCUCCUGGGUGGAAACGCAACACACUAACCACCGAGGCUGAGACGCGCUAGUGAUAAAAACGAGUCCCUUCGCUAGAUGAGUACAAGCACGCUGAACUGAAUCUAAACAAAAACUGAAUCUGAAUCGCGGCUAGAACUGCACCUUACUGAAACUGCUCGUCCAUGGCUGUUCUAGACGGGGUCAAUCAUCGAUCCGGAGGGACUUGGAGGCUUCGACGGGGCUGUCCCAGGCCGGGAAUGGGCGGACCUAGCAAGCAUCGACCGGAUCCAUUGGAGAACGACGGCGGACGGGGAGUUGCAGGGCAGCAAGGGCAUCCAUGGUGGGGCUGCACCAACCUUCGUUCUGUUCCUCAGUGCUGGUCCCCGACGGCGGCGAGGUUUAGGACGACAAGGUGCUCCUGGCCCAGCGACGAGGACCUCGGGGCUAGGUCAUUCCGGGGCGGCGACGUGC